UACAGAGGUCCCAAACGUUGUUCGGAUUCAUUGGGCGUAAAGGGUGUGUAGGUGGCGCCGUAAGUCGGGUGUGAAAUCUCGGGGCUUAACUCCGAAACUGCAUUCGAUACUGCGGUGCUUGAGGACUGGAGAGGAGACUGGAAUUCAUGGUGUAGCAGUGAAAUGCGUAGAGAUCAUGAGGAAGACCAGUGGCGAAGGCGGGUCUCUGGACAGUUCCUGACACUGAGACACGAAGGCCAGGGGAGCAAACGGG
rnacentral:rRNA from 1 species